UGGACGAAAGUCUGACGGAGCAACGCCGCGUGAGUGAUGAAGGAUUUCGGUCUGUAAAGCUCUGUUGUUUAUGACGAAGUGCAGUGUGUGAACAAUGCAUUGCAAUGACGGUAGUAAACGAGGAAGCCACGGCUAACUACGUGCCAGCAGCCGCGGUAAUACGUAGGUGGCGAGCGUUGUCCGGAAUUAUUGGGCGUAAAGAGCAUGUAGGCGGCUUAAUAAGUCGAGCGUGAAAAUGCGGGGCUCAACCCCGUAUGGCGCUGGAAACUGUUAGGCUUGAGUGCAGGAGAGGAAAGGGGAAUUCCCAGUGUAGCGGUGAAAUGCGUAGAUAUUGGGAGGA
rnacentral:rRNA from 1 species